rnacentral:rRNA from 1 species
GACGAACGCUGGCGGCGUGCCUAAUACAUGCAAGUAGAACGCACAGUUUAUACCGUAGCUUGCUACACCAUAGACUGUGAGUUGCGAACGGGUGAGUAACGCGUAGGUAACCUGCCUGGUAGCGGGGGAUAACUAUUGGAAACGAUAGCUAAUACCGCAUAAUAUUAAUUAUUGCAUGAUAAUUAAUUGAAAGGUGCAAUUGCACCACUACCAGAUGGACCUGCGUUGUAUUAGCUAGUAGGUGAGGUAACGGCUCACCUAGGCGACGAUACAUAGCCGACCUGAGAGGGUGAUCGGCCACACUGGGACUGAGACACGGCCCAGACUCCUACGGGAGGCAGCAGUAGGGAAUCUUCGGCAAUAGACGAAAGUCUGACCGAGCAACGCCGCGUGAGUGAAGAAGGUUUUCGGAUCGUAAAGAUCUGUUGUAAGAGAAGAACGGGUGUGAGAGUGGAAAGUUCACACUGUGACGGUAUCUUACCAGAAAGGGACGGCUAACUACGUG